rnacentral:lncRNA from 1 species
GGGAAAGUGCAGAAAGUUCAUAUUCUGUUCAAACAUGUUAUUGUUGAAUAUCAAUGUUCCUAAAGAGGGAGGCAAAGGGCAACAAUGUUGUUUCAUUUCCUGAUAAGGCAGGCCAGCUGCGGAACUAGGGAGGAAUUCGGCUCGAGGUCAAGUCAACAGAUGAAGUGAGAUGGAACCUCUGGGAGGGCCAGAGGGGCCCACCACAACAGUCCUAUCUCACAUAGAGGGGCCCACCACAACGACCCUCCUACUACAGUCCUAUCUCACACAGAGGGGCCCACCACAACGACCCUCCUACUACAGUCCUAUCUCACACAGAGGGGCCCACCACAACCACCCUCCUACUACAGUCCUAUCUCACACAGAGGGGCCCACCACAACGACUCUCCUACUACAGUCCUCUCUCACACAGAGGGGCCCACCACAACGACUCUCCUACUACAGUCCUAUCUCACACAGAGGGGCCCACCACAACGACCCACCUACUACAGUCCUAUCUCACACAGAGGGGCCCACCACAACAGUCCUAUCUCACACAGAGGGGCCCACCACAACGACUCUCCUACUACAGUCCUAUCUCACACAGAGGGGCCCACCACAACCACCCUCCUACUACAGUCCUAUCUCACACAGAGGGGCCCACCACAACCACCCUCCUACUACAGUCCUAUCUCACACAGAGGGGCCCACCACAACGACCCUCCUACUACAGUCCUAUCUCACACAGAGGGGCCCACCACAACGACUCUCCUACUACAGUCCUAUCUCACACAGAGGGGCCCACCACAACGACUCUCCUACUACAGUCCUAUCUCACACAGAGGGGCCCACCACAACGACCCUCCUACUACAGUCCUAUCUCACACAGAGGGGCCCACCACAACGACCCUCCUACUACAGUCCUAUCUCACACAGAGGGGCCCACCACAACCACCCUCCUACUACAGUCCUAUCUCACACAGAGGGGCCCACCACAACGACUCUCCUACUACAGUCCUAUCUCACUCACAUAAACUUCCACCAAGGUUCUAGCAUCAGACAGGACCAUGACUACACCAGUGAGAGGAACCAAUUAAGUUUCUGCCUAGCAACAGAG